ACACAUGAACUAGGUUCUGUGCUACUUGAAAAAUAUCACCUAGAGUAUAGACACAAGCAAACAAUACUCCAGCAAUGUCAAGGAAGCAAAAGCAAGCUUAAACAAAAAAAGAAACUUAGAAAUCAAAUAAAAACGAACCUGGACAAAAAAUAUUGCAUUUAAUUCACUUCAACGCAAAUUAAAUAUGGAUCUACUUAAAUCUACCCAAAAAGGAAAGUAUCAAAACCCC
rnacentral:lncRNA from 1 species